AAAAAGCCCAGCCAACCGCCAGAUUCCAGAAAGCUCUUCACGAAAGCAGCUGUGUAAAACCACGCCUUUUCUCUCCCAAGACCCUUGGCGGACCACCAAGAAAGACCACAAGAUGCUGCAAGACAGGAAAUUGCAGCCCUGGGUCCUUCACGAAAUCAAUGUACAUCUGUAGAAAGGGCAAUUAUGGAAAAGCAGGAGAAAAUGGACAUGAAGAUCAACCACCUGUCUUCACUGGUGCAGUCUAUAACAGGAAACAGACGCGCUUUACCCCAGAUGGAUGUGGCCGAAGAGGAAGAGAGUGUUGUCUUUCCUCUAGCAAGCAUUGCUGAUUUAGAUAGGCUAGAGGAAAAACUUGCAGAAAAAGGAUUUAUGCAGAGAAUGGUUAACAGAUCAUCCCUCAGUGAUGGCCCAAUAUGAAGAAGACAGUGUGGAUGAUUUGCUUCAAAGUUUUCACGACAGACGUCGCACGGCAACUCAACUGGUGUGGAACGGGAGGGAAAAAAAGUCCUUCGUAAGACAAACUUCGGAGCACACUUAAUAGAGUUUCAGGAAAACCAGGAAACUCUCACCUGUGACCUGAAGAUCCUCGGCACUCAGGAUCCAGUCCUUUCUGAGCCCCUUGUGCAGGUGCAUUUUGGGUCGGACUCGACUGUUGAUUACGUACAGGAUCCAGUCCUUUCUGAGCCCCUUGUGCAGGUGCAUUUUGGGUCGGACUCGACUGUUGAUUACGUACAGGAUCCAGUCCUUUCUGAGCCUCUUGUGCUGGUGCAAUUUGGGUCGACCUC